AGCAGCCGCGGUAAUUCCAGCUCCAAUAGCGUAUAUUAAAGUUGUUGCAGUUAAAAAGCUCGUAGUUGAAUUUCGGGGUUAGUAGGUUGGUCAUGCCUCUGGUAUGUACUGGUCUCACUGAUUCCUCCUUCCUGAUGAAUCUUAAUGCCAUUAAUUUGGUGUUUUGGGGAAUUUGGACUGUUACUUUGAAAAAAUUAGAGUGUUUAAAGCAAGCUAACGCUUGAAUACAUUAGCAUGGAAUAAUGAAAUAGGACGUUCGAUCCUAUUUUGUUGGUUUCUAGGAUUGACGUAAUGAUUAAUAGGGAUAGUUGGGGGCAUUAGUAUUCAAUUGUCAGAGGUGAAAUUCUUGGAUUUAUUGAAGACUAACUACUGCGAAAGCAUUUGCCAAGGAUGUUUUCAUUAAUCAAGAACGAAAGUUAGGGGAUCGAAGACGAUCAGACACCGUCGUAGUCUUAACCAUAAACUAUGCCGACUAGGGAUCGGAUGAUGUUAAUUUUUAAUGUACUCAUUCGGCGCC
rnacentral:misc_RNA from 1 species